rnacentral:misc_RNA from 1 species
AAGUCGUAACAAGGUUUCCGUAGGUGAACCUGCGGAAGGAUCAUUAUCGAAUAAAUCUGGCGUGGCUGUCGCUGGCUCCUCCGGGAGCAUGUGCACGCCCGUCACUUUUAUUUCUCCACCUGUGCACACACUGUAGGCCUUGGAUACCUCUCGCCGCAAGGCGGAUGCGUGGCUUGCUGUUGCUUUCGCAAGAAGGCCGGCUCGCCAUGAAUUUCCAGGUCUAUGAUUUCUUUUACACACCCCGAACUGAAUGUUAUGGAAUGUGAUCUCAAGGCCUUGUGCCUAUAAACCUAUACAA